rnacentral:rRNA from 1 species
GUGAGGAAUAUUGCGCAAUGGAGGCAACUCUGACGCAGCCAUGCCGCGUGCAGGAAGAAGGCGCUACGCGUUGUAAACUGCUUUUAACCGGGAAGAAACCCCUCUACGUGUGGAGGGUUGACGGUACCGGAGGAAUAAGCACCGGCUAACUUCGUGCCAGCAGCCGCGGUAAUACGAAGGGUGCAAGCGUUAUCCGGAUUCAUUGGGUUUAAAGGGUGCGUAGGUGGGGCGUUAAGUCAGUGGUGAAAUCCUGCAGCUCAACUGUAGACUUGCCAUUGAUACUGGCGUUCUUGAGUGCGCUUGAAGUAGGCGGAAUGUGCCGUGUAGCGGUGAAAUGCUUAGAUAUGGCACAGAACACCAAUUGCGAAGGCAGCUUACUAAGGCGAUACUGACACUGAGGCACGAAAGCGUGGGGAUCGAACAGGAUUAGAUACCCCAGUAGUCC